rnacentral:tRNA from 1 species
GGGGCCAUAGCUCAGUUGGUAGAGCGCUUGCAUGGCAUGCAAGAGGUCAGCGGUUCGACUCCGGUAUUCUCCACCC